GUCGGCGGCAGUCGUGGAGUAAUCUAAGACCUAGAGCGGCGCACGGGUGCGUAACGCGUAUGCAACCUACCUUAUACUGGGGGAUAGCCCGGAGAAAUCUGGAUUAAUACCCCAUGGCACAUAUUGAUGGCAUCUGAGAUAUGUUAAAGAUUUAUUGGUAUAAGAUGGGCAUGCGUCUGAUUAGCUAGUUGGCGGUGUAACGGACCACCAAGGCGACGAUCAGUAGGGGUUCUGAGAGGAAGGUCCCCCACACUGGCACUGAGAUACGGGCCAGACUCCUACGGGAGGCAGCAGUAGGGAAUAUUGGGCAAUGGUCGGAAGACUGACCCAGCCAUGCCGCGUGCAGGAAGAAGGCCCUCUGGGUUGUAAACU
rnacentral:rRNA from 1 species